AGGACGAACGCUGGCGGCGUGCCUAACACGUGCAAGUCGAACGAGGCUUAUCCGGUAGCAAUACCGGAGACUGCCUAGUGGCGAACGGGUGAGUAGCACGUGAGCAACCUGCCCCGAAGACUGGGAUAACACCGGGAAACCGGUGCUAAUACCAGAUGCCCCCACCGGAUCGCAUGAUCUGGUGAGGAAAUGGAUUCCGCUUCGGGAGGGGCUCGCGGCCUAUCAGCUAGUUGGUGAGGUAACGGCUCACCAAGGCUUCGAUGGGUAGCUGGUCUGAGAGGACGAUCAGCCACACUGGGACUGAGACACGGCCCAGACUCCUACGGGAGGCAGCAGUGGGGAAUCUUGCACAAUGGGCGAAAGCCUGAUGCAGCAACGCCGCGUGAGGGACGAAGGCUUUCUGAGUUGUAAACCUCUUUCAGCAGGGACGAUUGUGACGGUACCUGCAGAGAGCCCGGCAACUACGUGCCAGCAGCCG
rnacentral:rRNA from 1 species